UGCAGCUGUGGAGCUCCUAUGUCUAAUAAUUUUUCUUUUCUUUUAAAAUGCAUCUUAAUGCUAGACUAGUUAUUAAAAAAAGAGACUAUAUAAUGAAUGAUAAUUAUUAAAUUGUUUUAAAGGAUUAUUUGGUGAAUAAUCCAAAUAAAUUGAUGAUUUCUAUCCUUUUCACUUUAAAAACAUUUUAGAUGAAAAACAUAUUGGCACCUAGUAUGUGUGCCCUAAGGUUAAUUACCUACGGUCCAGUUAAAGUCUUCAGGCUGGCCCUGUUCUGAAGAGCUGUGGUACAAUUUAAUAAAGUGGAAGAAUAUUAGCAUAAUUCUCUAAAACAGUAUCUUCCCUCUUCAGAGUCUGUAUAGGCUGGUCCAAAGAAGCAGUAUCAUGACCGUUAUUUAAGCUGUAUUCUGGAACACAAAAACACGUGGUGUUAAUGUGUUUUCUUUGACUUUUUUAAACAAAAGAUAUUUUGACUUUAACUAUUCUAGGCUAUUAAUAAAGAUGAAAAUUCUUUAAGAUAGCUUUCAACUUUCAUAGUAUGUUGCAGUAUUUCCACUUGAUUUAUAAGUUUUUUUUUUAAAAAAAUCAAAGAAUUAUUUAUAUGUGGGUAAGUUAGCUGUAAGUAAUUAUAUGUUGUCUUUUGGAAUAAUAGUAGUGAGGGUAAUGAAAUUGACGAUGGUGGCUGCUGCUGCUGUUUAGACUGAGUGGACUGGAACUUCUAGGGUUGAACCUAAACUGGAAAGCCAACCCACUUAUUACUGAAAUUCUGUUUUGGUGGCUUCCAUUAUAACUGUUAAAUUUAAUGAUUAAGCUGAGAAGGUUGGUAGAGACUCGUGAAAUUUCCACACCUGUCUUCAGUACACAAGAGCAGGAAAAUCAGCUAACUGAAGAUAUAAGAAGGUAUAGUGGAACAUCACAAGCUAGAAAACUGGAAGAGGUCUGAGGGAAGCAACUCCUUGUACAUGAAAGCAAGGAGUCUGGGCAAUAAAGUGGAGGAACUGGAAAAAACUGUGCAGGAAGUCAAACCACAUAUUGUAGCUAUUACAGAAACAUGGUGGAAUAGCACUCAUGACUGGAAAACAGUCAUUGAAGGGUAUAAAGGAGUAAAGGUAAUAGUGUUGGUGUAAUGUACAUCAACGAAGCAGUAACCUGUAAGGAAAAUAUGAAGUGAUAGUAUGGACAAAACAGAAUCUGUUUGGGUCAAAAUCACUUUAGGACAUUUUUGUCAAAGAAAUUAUACUAGGCUAGUCUUCGGGGUCUGCUGUAGAUCCCAGGUCAGACUUGGGAUAGGCAUAGUGAUCUCUUGAAUAUUAUUAGAGAGAGAAGUACUUUUGAGAACUGUCAUAAUGGGAGCUUUCAACUUCCUGGAUAUAGACUGGAGAAUAAAUACCACUAAUGUGUGUGGGGCCCACUUAUCCUGGAUGUGACAGAUGACAGUUUUCUACAUCAAAUGGUCACUGAGCAAACAAGAAGUGAUGCAGUUUUGGACAUAGUUUUAGAAAGUACUCAGGCCAUGAUAGAAGAGCUGGUCAUAUAAAAUAACCUUGGAUUGAGUAAUCACAAAUUAAUUUAGUUUAAAUUAUAUUGAAAGAUAGUUUUGAUUAUGUCAUCAACUAUUAUUUUUUUAUUUUAAAAGGCCAGACUUUGGGAAAUCAAGGGAAUUAGUUCAGCUGCACUAAAGAGCUCAAGGACUUAAAUGUAGAGGAGGCUUGGAAUUUCUUCAAAUCAGCUAUCAAAAAACUGCCUGACAUUUGCAUCCCAAGAAAGGGGAAAAAACUGAAAGGGAAAAGGCCUUCUGGAUGAAUAACCACCCACCUGGAUGAAUACCACCUCAAAAAAGGCUAUUGAGAAUAAGGGGACUGGAAAAGGAGGUUAACGAACAAAGAAAGCUACAUCAUGAAAAUUGUAGGAAUGAAGUGAGAAUCACUAAAAGUCAAGCUGAAAUUUCUUGCCAAGGAAAAUAAAAUAAAUAAGAAGAGGGUUUUCAGUCAUAUAAAUAAAAAGAGAAUAGGGAAUUCUGAGGGUGGGCUGCUAUGCAGUGUGGUUGGGAAGGAGACUAAAGAUAAUUUAGGUAUGCCCAAAAACUAAAUGAAUAUUUUUUUCUCUGGUUUUCAGUAAGGAUGAUAAUAUGGAACAUGUAAGUAAAGGCAGUACAGCUGAUGGAAAUAAGAGUCUGGAAAUGGAAAUCACCACAUCUGAGGUGAAAGAAAAACUUGGAAAGAGCUUAAUGCACUUUAUCCGGUCCCCCAGAUUUAUUUCCAUCCCAAAAUACUGAAACUGGCUCAUGAGAUUGCUAGUCAGGUAGCAAGGAUUUUUAAUCUAUCCAUUCAGAAGUAUGACUGGAGAAUAGCUAAUGUUCAACCGAUUUUUUAAGGAAGUGGGGUGGGGGAAGUGAUCUGGACAAUUUCAGGGCUUUUAGUCUGACCUCAAUAGUAUGCAAGGAUUUAGAACAAAUAGUGAAAGAGACAGUAUUAAGUUUAUAGAGGUAAAUGGUAAAGGGGGUGUAAUGCAACAUGGGUUUACCAAAAGUGCAUCAUGCCAGACUAACCUGAUUUCCUUCUUUGAAAAAGUAACUUUCCUUUUUUGGUAAAGAAAUUACAGUAGAUCGAACAUACUUGGACUUCAGUGAAGCAUUUGACACAGUACAACAUGGGAAAUUAUUAGUUAAAUUCAGGAAGCUGGGGAUCAGUGCAAGCAUUGUCAGGUGGAUAAGAAACUGGCUAAAGAGGGGGGAAGGCAAUGGGUGGUGCUGAAAGGUGAGUUAGCAGAUUGGAUUGAGGUUACUAAUGGAGCUCCUCAAGCAUUGGUCUUGGGACCAAUCUUCAAUAUUUUUAUUAAUCACCUUGAUAGAAUAAGUAGGAAUGUGGUAAUGAAAUUUGCUGCUGUUACAAAGUUGGAAGGCAUCAUCAGAGCAGAGGAGGACUGGACUAUUAUACAGGAAGACCUGGAUGACCUUGAAGAGUGGAGUAACAGAAAUAGGAUGAAAUUCAAUAGGACAAAGUGCAAGGUCAGGUACUUAAGGUCAAAUCAUAAUUUCUGCUACAAACUGAGGGAUUAUCACCUGGAAUUGACAGCGAGGAGAGACUUGUAUGUGUAGGUCAAUCACAGGAUGAUUGUGUGCCACCAGUGUGAUGCGGCUCUGAAAAAGCAAAUGCAAUCCUAGGAUGUAUUAGGCAAGGUAUUUCCAGUAGAGAUGGAGAAGUAUUAAUGCUAUUGUACAAUGCACUGGUAAGACCUCAUUUGGAAUACUGUGUACAAUUCUGGUUGCCCAUGUUUAAAAGGAUGAAUUUAAACUGAAACUGGUGGAGAGAAGAGCAACUAGGAUGAUCACAGGAAUGGAGGGCCUAUCUUAUGACAGGGGACUGGAAGAGCUUGGCUCACUUAAUGUAGCGGAAAGAAGGCUGAAAAAUACAUUAGGGAGUAAAUACAAGGAAGAGUAAAGAAUUUUUAAGCUAAAAGACAGUGUUGGUGCAAGAACAUCUGAAUAUAAACUGGCCAUGAACAAACUCAAGCUUCAAAUUAGACAGUAGUUUCUAACCAUCAGAGGUGUGAGGUUCUGGAAUAGCCUCCCAAUAAGAGUCGUAGGGGAAAACAAUUUAAUUUAGUUUUGAGAGAGAGCACGACAAAUUUGAGCACAUUUGUAUGGCAGGGUUACUUGUGAUAUGGGACAGGGCGCAACAGUCCUGGGGCUCACUUCCAGUUUGUGUUUUAUGUUCAUAAAGCUCAUAGUUCAUGGUCUUAGUAAGCUGCUGGCCAGUGUCAGAAUUGGAAGGGAUUUUUCCUCCAAGUGUAUUCUGGGAGAGUUUAUCAGGAAUGGAGGAGAGACACUGAGUGGGAUAGGCCAGGACUCUCAGUUGGCACCAAGCGUUCUCUCUCUCUCUCUCUCUGAGGUACAUGUCUGGCUGUUCUUGCUCACAUGCUUAGGGUCUAACUGAUCACCUUAUGUGGGAUCAGGACCUUGGGCGUUUUCAGCUUUCCUUUGCAACAUGCGGGUACUGGUCACUUGCCAGGAUUAUCUGGCUAUAACUCAUUUAGUCAUUUCCCAGCCAUUUCGGAGGCCUGCAGCUCUGGUGCACCUCAGUUCCUACUAUUCUCUGCCUGUCAUAGAAUAGUCUAGUAUUCUGUGGGACUGUAAUACUUUGAUCCCACUUUGGUUGUUGGGUUUAGUGUGUGGGUGCUGGGUAGUAUUAUUGGCCUCUGAUAUACAAGAGGUCAGACUAAAUAAUAUAAUGGUCCCUUCUGGCCUUAAACUCUGACUCUUAUCUGGUUGGGUUUUUUAAUCUUUUUUUUUUUUUUAAGGUUAGCAUGUCCCAAGCAAAGAAAUUACUAAAUGAUUUUUUGUGUUCUGUAGAUGUGCAGUUACCUACUGGCAUUAAUAGUAGAGCUAACUUAGGGGUUUUCGUACCAGUUUUCACUGAUGAUCACUCAUAGUUGUGGUAUAUGUAGAGCAAACAGAGACAGUGGAUGUUCGUGAGAAAUUUUCUUUCUUUUGUAGUCUGUUAAUAUGUUAAGUGCAGCAGCUCAGCUACCUCUAUCCCAUGUCUGGCUGAGUGACAAGGAAACAGGUGGGGCGAGGCUUAAAUCAAAAAUUCCACCACAGUGACGGGAAUGGAUUCACAACACAUCAGGGUCAUUCCUCAGGCACUAUACAUACUAGGAACAGGCAUUAUGCCAUAGUGUGGUCUGAAAAGGGUCAGCACACUGGAAAGCAAAACUUUGCAGAUAACCUGGUUGCCUCAAACCACAGGGAUUCCUGGUGGAGCUAGCCUGUUUUGGACACUCCGUGGUCUGCAAAGUGAUAUUCCCACAUGCCAUUCCCCCAAUAUUCCAGUAAGUGGGCCCUGGAGGCAGCAGAGUUGAAAGAUUAUUAGUGCUAAGCAAGCCAAGGCAUUGUACACUUGUCAUCCCAACACAGUAGCUACUAUCUCAAACUGUAUUCAUACAUUUUGGUGGAAGAGAAAAAUAAAGUCAUAAUCCAACUGUGAGACCUGAGGGCCACUGAAGCUGGCCACGUGCCAUAUACCUUCUGGGGUGUGAAGAACAUUGCAAUGCUUGCAACGGGAGAAAAUGAGAAUAUGGUAACAAAGUGGGGAUCAACAAAACCAAAGACCAUAAAGGACAGAUCCAGGAAAAGUGAUUAGCAGACUGUCGUAACACUACAUACUAGAGCAACAAAGCAGCACAAGGCUGGAAAUCCCUUACACAGGAGCACAACAGGGGAAUCAGGAAAAGUCUAUUCCAUCUACAGCCCUCUACCUGUCAUCACUAAAAUGUAAUAGGCAGAAAAGCAGUGGCAGCACUACUCAGCUGGGUACUAUUGCAGUGUCAAGAAGUACUGACCUACAUCACAGUUCAUACCACUGUUAUAAUACUAGAUUAAAUAUAGCAGAUGUUCUUUGAGAGUAAACAACAUAACCCAGUCCGGGCCCCUAGUAGUCUUUAUCUAUUUCAGAGUUUUCUAUAACACCAAUCACAGUAGUUUCUAAAUGCUGCUCUACAAAAUUACAUCUGUAUGGAAAAAUCCAUAGUGGACUUGAUGGAAUUAACUGCUUUUUUUCCCUUUGUCAGGUUCUAGGGAUCUCUGUUUGGAGUAUAUCUACGGUAUCACUUCUUUUUUCAUUCUUCUAUUUAUGUUGGAGUAGCUUUUUCUGAAAGACACUCUCUGAAACUGUAGUAAGUCUUGAAUGGGCAUUUGGGUAUGUUGGUGCUCAAAACUGCAUUCAAACAAACUUUAAAAAUAAACAUUUAAAAAAAUAAUUUUAGUUGUACUUGGCAGUUCAGCUGGACUGCUGAAAACAACGCUACAUUUUUUGCAUGCAAAAUUUUCUGCACCUUAGUGUCCAACUGCUUAAAAUGUUAAUCUGACUACUGAGUUUUGGAGGAGAAUUUGUGUCUUAAUUUAUGCUUAGGUUUAAUCAGCCAGAUUCCAUCCUCCAAACUUAAUGUUCAGGCAGCACAAAGGAGCUAGAAUCUGUCCAUAGCAGGCUAGCUGACAGUUCUCCAGGGAAGGAUAGACGCUCUCAGCUGAUGUAAGAACUGGAUCCUGCACUAGCCACUCCAUGAUUACCAUAGAGCUAGGAGAAUGUCAAAGACAGAUCAGAGCACAGCUCUUUUCUGACAGCCGUCGUAUCUGCAUAUCUCUUCUCCCAGUCAGUCCCUGUGCUGUUCUAACUCUCCAGUACUGAAGCCAGCACAGUGUGGCCAGUAACAGACUCCUGGAUGCCCACCCCCCAUUCUCAUUUGCUGAGCAGGUAUCUGCGCAAGAAAGAAUCUGGCCCAGAAUUAUUAUUAUUAUUUAUUUCAUUAAUUUAUUAUUCAGGUUAAAAAAAUCAGUUGAAAAUAAUAGCAAUUAGAGGGUUUAGAUUAAAAAUCUUGGGCCAAAUCUUUGUCUGCACUCCCAUAGAAAACUGUGGGAGAUUUGUCUGAGUAAGGAUUCUCUUCAGGAUUUGGCAUGAGAUUUUGACUUUUAGAAUUAGAGGGAGAAAUUUUGGGAAGGGUUUCCUGUAAAAUUUGACAGUAUUAUGUAGAUGUUAAUUUUUUCCAAUGAGCUAAAAUAUUUAGAUAUACACCUAUACCCCGAUAUAAUGUGACCCGAUAUAACACUAAUUCAGAUACAAUGCGCUAAAGUAGCGCUCCGGAUGGGUGAGGCUGCACACUCUGGUGGAGCAAAGCAAGUUCGAUAUAACGUAGUUUCAUCUAUCAUGCGGUAAGAUUUUUUGUCUCCCGAGGACAGCAUUAUAUCAGGAUAGAGAUGUAUUUCUAACUCAGACAAGUAGAUGAGUGCCAUUGUUGCAUCUUCAGGGCAUGUUCUAGUGUGUUACUUUGUUCAGAGA